rnacentral:tRNA from 1 species
GGGGCUAUAGCUCAGUUGGUAGAGCGCUUCGCUGGCAGUGAAGAAGUCAGGAGUUCGAGUCUCCUUAGCUCCACCA